rnacentral:tRNA from 1 species
GGUGCUGUGGGGUAACGGUUAACCUUAGGCUACAUACAUUAUCGACAAUUUCCACGUAUGCAUAUUGUGAGCCUAGUUGCGAGUUCGAAUCUCGCCAGCGCCA